GUCGAUGUGAGACUUUCAACAAACGUUUUAGCAAGUAAGAGAGCAGAAGUUUUGACAGAAAUGAAAGAAGAAGAUUAUUUAUUUUUGUUGGUGUCUUGAAGAGAUACCGAGAGAGAGGGUUGGCAUGCAAAAUGAUUGAAGCAAUAGAGUGAUGGGCGUGGUCUGCAGAAAGCAGCAGAUGCAUGUCUUUCUAUGAGGUCUCGGGUGAGAGAGAAAGAAGGAAUGAAUUUGUUCAAAAGCCACGACACUGCCAAGCCUGAAUCAUUCAUCCAUUGGUCUCACCUAAUUAGCGGAUCUAUGUGGAAAAUGACAAAACCCCUUAUUGCUGUUCUCCCAAGUUGUUCCUUGUUCGC
rnacentral:lncRNA from 1 species